GUUACACAACUCCACAAAGUUAAAAUCCAUUAUGAAAACGAAAAUGUUUGGGAAAUUUCAUCUCUUAUAUCAAUCCUUAUCUAAAACAAUUUGCCAACAAUAAGGGCACCACAUUGUUUAUUGACUAUCAAAACAAUGCAUUGUGGGAGAGCAUCAUUUUUUUAAAUCAUUUAAAUUUGCAAAAUAAUUUUAUUACCAAAACAAAAUUUAUAAUAUAAAGUUUGUUUUCUCCAUCCAAACAGUCCUUAAUUUUUCAGGUAUAAAAAAUUUACACAAAUAGUCAAAAAAUGGUAAAAGGACCCAAACCUUUUUCAGUUCAAAAUGGAAAGACAUCUGAUGUUCCGAUAUGUAAAAGGUUCGUGAAAUGAACAAGGUUUCCAUUACUACACGACUGAUAUGCACAUAAAUAAUUAGCACGACAACAAACGUCUGGAUGUGUUUCUAUGACAACAAUAAGGACACCACAUACAUAUUUAUAUCUUACGAUGCUGCCUUGUGAGCCAUUGUUAAUUAUAAAUAGGACUGAAGGACGGAUGGAACAAAUAAAAAUGCUUGCCAAGAUGGUCUUGCAUUGUUUAAAAGGCAUAUAAUUUCAAAAUGAAUUUUUAAUUGAAUCUUUUCUAGAAAUAAAUACAUGAGUCGAUGAUGAAAUAUUUAUUUGAUGUUUGUUUUUCUUAAAACCACUUUGGAUGAAUUGUGGCAUUCAUAUAUGGAAUAAUUUUUCAAUGAAAUUUGAUCUUAAAAUAUUUACAUGUUUUUUUUUCUUAUUUAAAUAUUUCAAUUUGUUUUUUUAAAUAUGGAGGAAAACUUUAUACCAAUUCACCAUCAGCGUGCAUAAUUACAUAUUUGUAAGAAUAUUUUUUUACUGAUUUGCAUUUUGAGUGUUUUCUUUUUUUAUUAUCAUGAUUAACAAAAAUAUGGUUUUCUGGAACGGAAAAAGUUUUAAUGGAAUAAAGCAGUUUCUAUCAAAUUUUCAUAAAAUCCCAAAAUUGUGAUAUUGUCGUUGAAUUUUGUACAGCGCUGCCCUCAUCAAUAUGAAAAAUACACAUCAAAAUUAUUUUUACUCUUUUGUAUGUAAUUAUUCUGGAGAAGAUCAAAUUGUUAAUUUUGACUGUGACCCUUUCCAAACUUCAGUCCAAAACAAUUCCUUAACAUUCUAUUUACGAUUUCAUUCAACUUUCUUACAUAAUUCUAAACAUCCCAUAGUGUCAUAUCAUUACUAAUUAUAUUUAUGUGACCUAAAUUGCUCUAAAAAACAUGAUGAAACCAAAAUCCAUUUGAGACUGAAUAUUAAGUUGAUUUUGAGAAACCCCUUGAUAUCCUAAAAAUUCAUUAUCCUUUAAAUGGUAUAAAAACCAAAUGUUUUAAUAUGUCUUUUUUUUUGUGAUUAAAAAUUUAUCAGGUUUUAUGGAAAACAUACCGGUAAAUGUUUUUUUCUUUAAAAAAAAGAUGCAUAUAAAUCUAAUAUUACCCCCUUCCUGGUUUAUGCAGCCCAUCUUUGUAUGGAAAAUGAGGAAAUGAAGGAAAGAUGAGUUAAAAAACUUAAUCAUUCAGUCAAAAUCAUGAAUAUUUUAGUUAAGUAAAACAUUUUAGAGUACCCUUUUAUGUAUACUAAAAGAUCCUAAUUCUAUAAGUGAGCAAUUUAAAAUUCACUUCUCUACAAGUAC
rnacentral:lncRNA from 1 species